rnacentral:snoRNA from 1 species
GGCCUCCUGGUGCUUACCAGAGGCUCUGUUCUCACACUGAAUGUAUAGAAAGGGGAGGCAAAGUCAACCCACCUCACAUACACCUCAGCCCAGGACCUGUGCCUAAUCUGUAUUAUGAAUGGGGAGACAUGG